rnacentral:rRNA from 1 species
GAUGAACGCUGGCGGCGUGCCUAAUACAUGCAAGUCGAGCGAGCGGCGGACGGGUGAGUAACACGUGGAAACCUACCUAUACGACUGGGAUAACUUCGGGAAACCGGAGCUAAUACCGGAUACUUAUACAUGGAUCCGCGCUGCAUUAGCUCGUUGGUAAGGUCACGGCUUACCAAGGCGACGAUCCCUAGCUGGUCUGAGAGGAUGACCAGCCAAACUGGAACUGAGACACGGUCCAGACUCCUACGGGAGGCAGCAGUGGGGAAUAUUGCACAAUGGGCGCAAGCCUGAUGCAGCCAUGCCGCGUGUGUGAAGAAGGCCUUCGGGUUGUAAAGCACUUUCAGCGGGGAGGCGUUACCCGCAGAAGAAGCACCGGCUAACUCCGUGCCAGCAGCAGCGGUAAUAC